rnacentral:lncRNA from 1 species
UUAUCCUGUGCUUUUUAUAAGUCAAUGCUUUAUUAACCAGAGAGAUUCACACAGUGCAGAGAAUUUUAGAAGUCCAUUGAUACACCAAGGCUGAUACAUUUCCAUCACAGUGUGACAGCAGGGGGCAGAUGUGGGGCCAGCCCCAUCAUCUCUCCACAGCUCUGAGGAGUGAACUGGGAGGCAAAGUGUUCAAAGAUGUGGCCAAGGCAGAUCACACAUCUUUAAAUGAGUUUAAAUAAGGAUUUCCUUGAGAGGUGUUCAGCUGAGAAGUUUGGUGGACUUUACCCUCAUGAAGUGAUGUCAGUGAGCUGUGCUAGUACAUCUGCUGCCUUUCUUCUCCCCUGGGGAGGAUUAGCUUUGUCUCCUGCUGCUGGAAAUGAAGCCAUUGAAAUGAUGGAGUUCAUAAUGCGUGAACCUACCACACACCCUUCUGUCCCCAGAGCCUCUCCAAGGAAUUAAAAUUCAG